rnacentral:misc_RNA from 1 species
GAUGAAGAACGUAGCAAAAUGUGAUAAGUAAUGUGAAUUGCAGAAUUCAGUGAAUCAUCGAAUCUUUGAACGCACAUUGCGCCCGCCAGUAUUCUGGCGGGCAUGCCUGUUCGAGCGUCAUUUCAACCCUCAAGCACAGCUUGGUGUUGGGACUCGCGUUAAUUCGCGUUCCCCAAAUUGAUUGGCGGUCACGUCGAGCUUCCAUAGCGUAGUAGUAAAACCCUCGUUACUGGUAAUCGUCGCGGCCACGCCGUUAAACCCCAACUUCUGAAUGUUGACCUCGGAUCAGGUAGGAAUACCCGCUGAACUUAAGCAUAUCAUAAGCGGAGGA